CAUGCGUCAUGUUGGGGAAGGUGAGAACCUUCGACGAGGUUCGAGUCGAGCAGCGCGAGACAACGCGCGUAGCGCGGCCCGAAGGGUGAGGAGCAGAGCGACGAAUAAUCCUUCCCCACCACCA
rnacentral:sRNA from 1 species